rnacentral:lncRNA from 1 species
CAUGGAUGGAACUGGAGACCAUUAUCCUGAGAUAACUCAGAAACAGAAAGUCAAAUACUGCAUGUUCUCACUUAUAAGUGGAAGCUAAGUAAUGGGUGCACAUGGAUAUACAGAGUGAAAUAAUACACAUUGGAGACUACAAAAAGGCAUGAAGAAAUAAUGACACUGAAAACAUCGAGUGACUUAUUCAUACAGGAUGAGGAUGAGCAGGAGAUGAACCCUUAUCAAAUUCUGGCUCUACACCAAGCACUAAUAAUUAGCUGUUUGACACUCUUCCGGAUAUUGUUUUUGUCACUUAACAACAUAACUUGGUGAUCCUCCCAGAGCAGAAAAGCUCUCCCAGAUAUGUUUCAGGGCAGCGUAACCUUCCUUGUUCUUCCUUCACUGAGCAUGUUAUAUGUGGAAAGAACACAUCCUCACUUGGGGAAACCAGAUAAAUUGUUUAAAUUAUUGCAAAUGUGAAUGAUUUUAAUGUAGAAAUAACCUUUUUCAUUCCACAUUAAUCACAAAUACUGUUCACAACCCUUCGUAAUAAACUUGUCUCUGCUUUUUUUUUUUUUUUUUUUCCUGGUAUUCUUUGUGAUUAGAAUCUCUCGCCUUGGUAUCCGCUGUGUUCAAGAGCAGAACAGAGCUUUGAACUUUACAGGCUAGUGCUCAGAAUUAAAAGUGCUUAAUGCCACCAAGAUUUCUAUUAAAAAACCCAGGGUAAAGGAAAAAGCCUUUUGCUUCAGCUGAAAUGUUCUUGUAGAGGGCAAAAUGGAAAAUACAAACACCACUGCCGUUUGCUGGUUGGAUACCACAGCCAUCGGCACCUCCUGGAAAUGGCA